CUUAUGAAGUUAGCGGCGGACGGGUGAGUAACACGUGGGUAACCUGCCCAUAAGACUGGGAUAACUCCGGGAAACCGGGGCUAAUACCGGAUAACAUUUUGAACCGCAUGGUUCGAAAUUGAAAGGCGGCUUCGGCUGUCACUUAUGGAUGGACCCGCGUCGCAUUAGCUAGUUGGUGAGGUAACGKCUCACCAAGGCAACGAUGCGUAGCCGACCUGAGAGGGUGAUCGGCCACACUGGGACUGAGACACGGCCCAGACUCCUACGGGAGGCAGCAGUAGGGAAUCUUCCGCAAUGGACGAAAGUCUGACGGAGCAACGCCGCGUGAAGUGAUGAAGGCUUUCGGGUCGUAAAACUCUGUUGUUAGGGAAGAACAAGUGCUAGUUGAAUAAGCUGGCACCUUGACGGUACCUAACCAGAAAGCCACGGCUAACUACGUGCCAGCAGCCGCGGUAAUACGUAGGUGGCAAGCGUUAUCCGGAAUUAUUGGGCGUAAAGCGGCGCGCAGGUGGUUUCUUCAAGUCUGAUGUGAAAGCCCACGGCUCAAUCCGUGGGAGGGUCAUUGGAAACUGGGAGACUUGAGUGCAGAAGAGGAAAGUGGAAUUCCAUGUGUACGCGGUGAAAUGCGUAGAGAUAUGGAGGAACACCAGUGGCGAAGGCGACUUUCUGGUCUGUAACUGACCACUGAGGCGCGAAAGCGUGGGGAAGCAAACAGGAUUAGAUACCCUGGUAGUCCACGCCGUAAACGAUGAAGUGCUAAGUGUUAGAGGGUUUCCGCCCUUUAGUGCUGAAGUUAACGCCAUUAAGCACUCCGCCUGGGGAGUACGGCCGGCAAGGCUGAAACUCAAAGGAAUUGACCGGGGGCCCGCACAAUCGGUGCAGCAUGUGGUUUAAUUCGGAAGCAACGCGAAGAACCUUACCAGGUCUUGACAUCCUCUGACACCCUAAG
rnacentral:rRNA from 2 species